rnacentral:rRNA from 1 species
CGGCCGACCGGGUCCAUCGGGAAAUCCACGCGCCCAACGCGUGGGCGUCCGGUGGAUACCAGUCGGCUUGGGGCCGGAAGACCCAGCGGGUACGUCCGGGGUAGGAGUGAAAUCCCGUAAUCCUGGACGGACCGCCGAUGGCGAAAGCACGCUGGGAAGACGGACCCGACGGUGAGGGACGAAAGCUGGGGUCUCGAACCGGAUUAGAUACCCGGGUAGUCCCAGCCGUAAACAAUGCUCGCUAGGUGUGGCGUCGGCUACGAGCCGGCGCUGUGCCGCAGGGAAGCCGCUAAGCGAGCCGCCUGGGAA